GCGAAAACUUUACAAUGCGGGAAACCGUGAUAAGGGAACUCCGAGUGCCCGUAAAAUCGGGCUGUCCAUCUGUUUAAAUAACAGGUGAAGAAAGGGCCGGGCAAGACCGGUGCCAGCCGCCGCGGUAAUACCGGCGGCUCGAGUGGUGGCCACUAUUACUGGGCUUAAAGCGUUCGUAGCUGGUUUGUUAAGUCUCUGGGGAAAUCUUCCGGCUUAACCGGAAGGCGUCUCAGGGAUACUGGCAGACUAGGGACCGGAAGAGGUGAGGGGUACUCCAGGGGUAGGAGUGAAAUCCUGUAAUCCUUGGGGGACCACCUGUGGCGAAGGCGCCUCACCAGGACGGCUCCGACAGUGAGGGACGAAAGCUGGGGGAGCAAACCGGAUUAGAUACCCGGGUAGUCCCAGCCGUAAACGAUGUGCGUUAGGUGUAUCGGUGACCACGAGUCACCGAGGUGCCGAAGAGAAAUCGUGAAACGUACCGCCAGGGAAGUACGGUCGCAAGGCUGAAACU
rnacentral:rRNA from 1 species